UGAAUGGAAGCCAUGGGCUGACAGGUUUCAGAUUUGAUGAUGAGAUUGUAAAGAGAUUCAGCAUCUAGUGGGAUUUGGAUUAUACCACAUCAAGAUCCUGCCCAACACUGAGAUUUUAUGGUUCUAUGGUUUGGGGAACAUGUUAUCUUUUAGAAAGGACGGCUCUAGGACAGUUGGAAACACACUUUUAUAGCCAAUGUACUUUUCAGAUGCCCUUAUAUCCAGAGUCAACCAGGGUAAAAUUAUGUUCUCACCAGAGUCUUGUUUAACAUCUUUCUUCCUCUCUCUUUUGUCUAUUUUCCUUGCACUUCUGAUACUUCUCAUUGGAUGGUUUGUAGGGCUCAGAGAGCCUGUGGUAAUUAAAAAGGCCUGUCUCUGGGGUCAGACUCCAGAUUAGCUCUAGAAUUCAGCCCUUAUGAACUGUACGUAAGAAUAACUUGAGGAAUAACUUGGUUCAGAGAAGCCAAUUGACCAGGUCAAGAGUUGGAAUCAAGAAUCUGUAUUUUGAGAACGUAUCAGCUGAAGAAAAUGAACAGUUAGGGAGUAAGGUGGGCUUCAGGCAUAGUUGACUGCAAGAAUGCAGACAAAAUCACCAGAAUUCAGUUUUUUUCCAUGUCUCUGCUCAAUUCUGUCCUCCUUCAUGUGUCGGCCUUAUUCUCAGACAUGACCUCACUUUCCAGAUGCAGUCUAGAUUUUAAGACCUCUCACGUUCAAGUCCAAUGGGAAAGAGUAGCUCCAUUUUCAUGUUAACCAAGAAAACCCCCUCUGGUUUUCUGACUGGGCCUUGGCUCAACCCUAUUCCCUCUCUCAGACUGACCACUGUGAGCCGGAGAAAGGACUUCCCCGGGUGACUUGGACCUUACUCCAGUGAUUCACCACUGGAACCAAUGUAGAGGUCAGCUUCACGCAAAGCACGUGGCUGAAAGU
rnacentral:lncRNA from 1 species